CCUGGUUGAUCCUGCCAGUAGUCAUAUGCUUGUCUCAAAGAUUAAGCCAUGCAUGUCUAAGUAUAAGCAAUCUAUACUGUGAAACUGCGAAUGGCUCAUUAAAUCAGUUAUCGUUUAUUUGAUAGUACCUUACUACAUGGAUACCUGUGGUAAUUCUAGAGCUAAUACAUGCUAAAAACCCCGACUUCGGGAGGGGUGUAUUUAUUAGAUAAAAAACCAAUGCCCCUCGGGGCUCCUUGGUGAAUCAUAAUAACUUAACGAAUCGCAUGGCCUUGCGCCGGCGAUGGUUCAUUCAAAUUUCUGCCCUAUCAACUUUCGAUGGUAGGAUAGUGGCCUACCAUGGUGGCAACGGGUAACGGGGAAUUAGGGUUCGAUUCCGGAGAGGGAGCCUGAGAAACGG
rnacentral:rRNA from 1 species